AACGCGUUUGCAACCUACCUUCAACAGGGGGAUAGCUCUCGGAAACGGGAAUUAAUACCCCAUAAUAUUUUUUUAUGGCAUCAUAGAAAGAUUAAAGCUCAGGCGGUUGAAAAUGGGCAUGCGUGACAUUAGCUAGUUGGUAAGGUAACGGCUUACCAAGGCUACGAUGUCUAGGGGGUCUGAGAGGAUGAUCCCCCACACUGGUACUGAGACACGGACCAGACUCCUACGGGAGGCAGCAGUGAGGAAUAUUGGGCAAUGGACGCAAGUCUGACCCAGCCAUGCCGCGUGCAGGAUGACUGCCCUAUGGGUUGUAAACUGCUUUUCUGCAGGAAGAAAUGUCCCGACGUGUCGGGAUUUGACAGUACUGCAGGAAUAAGCAUCGGCUAACUCCGUGCCAGCAGCCGCGGUAAUACGGAGGAUGCAAGCGUUAUCCGGAUUUAUUGGGUUUAAAGGGUGUGUAGGCGGGAGAUUAAGUCAGUGGUGAAAUCCUGCAGCUUAACUGUAGAACUGCCAUUGAUACUGGUUUCCUUGAGUAUAGUUGAAGUGGGCGGAAUGUGUAUUGUA
rnacentral:rRNA from 1 species